AGCGAACGCUGGCGGCAGGCCUAACACAUGCAAGUCGAGCGGCCGUAGCAAUACGGCAGCGGCAGACGGGAGAGUAACACGUGGGAACGUACCCUUUGGUUCGGAACAACCCAGGGAAACUUGGGCUAAUACCGGAUAAGUCCGUAAGGAGAAAGAUUUAUCGCCAAAGGAUCGGCCCGCGUCUGAUUAGCUAGUUGGUGAGGUAAUGGCUCACCAAGGCGACGAUCAGUAGCUGGUCUGAGAGGAUGAUCAGCCUCACUGGGACUGAGACACGGCCCAGACUCCUACGGGAGGCAGCAGUGGGGAAUAUUGGACAAUGGGCGCAAGCCUGAUCCAGCCAUGCCGCGUGGAUGAUGAAGGCCCUAGGGUUGUAAAGUCCUUUCGGCGGGGAAGAUAAUGACGGUACCCGCAGAAGAAGCCCCGGCUAACUUCGUGCCCGCAGCAGCCGCAG
rnacentral:rRNA from 1 species